rnacentral:misc_RNA from 1 species
UCCGGCUUAUCACCGGCAGUCCCCUUAGAGUGCCCAACUAAAUGAUGGCAACUAAGGGCGAGGGUUGCGCUCGUUGCGGGACUUAACCCAACAUCUCACGACACGAGCUGACGACAGCCAUGCAGCACCUGUGCAGCGGCCCCGAAGGGAAAUAUCAUUUCUGAUAUCGUCCACUGCAUGUCAAGCCUGGGUAAGGUUCUUCGCGUUGCAUCGAAUUAAACCACAUGCUCCACUGCUUGUGCGGGUCCCCGUCAAUUCUUUUGAGUUUCACCCUUGCGAGCGUACUCCCCAGGCGGUAUACUUAUCGCGUUAGCUACGGCACAACCGGGGUUGAUUCCAGUUACACCAAGUAUACAUAGUUUACGGCAAGGACUAC